rnacentral:rRNA from 1 species
GGACUACACGGGUAUCUAAUCCUGUUUGCUCCCCACGCUUUCGCGUCUCAGCGUCAGCAACGGUCCAGAGGGCCGCCUUCGCCGCCGGUGUUCCUCCUGAUAUCUACGCAUUUCACCGCUACACCAGGAAUUCCACCCUCCUCUACCGCGCUCCAGUUGGCCAGUUUCGGAUGCACUUCCGGAGCUGAGCCCCGGGCUUUCACACCCGACAUAACCUACCGCCUACACGCCCUUUACGCCCAGUCAAUCCGAACAACGCUUGCACCCUCCGUCUUACCGCGGCGGCUGGCAC